AGUGUCCUGCAUGGAGAAGAGUCUGGAAUGCAGAAAGAUGAGGCGGGCGGCUUGUUAAGAGGCCUAAUAUAUGUGUGCAAGAUGCAGUGAGGCAAGUGGCGCAGGCAGACUGUUUUAUUGUGCUAAUAAAGUAGCCCAUCUAGCCUCAUUGCUUAUUUAAACCAAGCUCUUCUAAUUAAAAAGAAAA